AGUUGGACUUUUUAUGGACAUACAUGCCCACUGCUUUCAGACACAUCUCACCUACUAUGCAUUCUCUGCUGCAUUUCCUCAGUCAUUGGAUUCUCCCAGAUGUGAAUCCAGGCUGCCUGAUACUGAGCGUCUCAAACUCAUUUGGAUGAUGGGGCACAAAACUCUGAAUUUGAAAGAGCUUGUGUUCAAUCACCAUUUCCUUCUCAGAAACAGGAUUUAAACUUUUACAGUACUGUAACACAAAUUCUAGGGCUUUAGCAACCUGGGAUGUAGGAUGACACUGCAGUCUGUCACUAUUUGUAUUGAGAUGUAUGUUUUCAAAGGCCAAAGAGCUUCUGAGAGAUUAAUACAGCUGCAACCAAUUUCACAUACAGAGGUCUGGGACUUUUCUUCACGUAUUCAGUAAAACACAGAGCAAACCUAAAAUACCUACCAGCAGAAAUUCAUAGAUCUGGAAAGAGAAUUGAUCACAGUCCUCUGCAAGCAUGACCUUCUGUUUAACACAGGCCAUGGGAUUUCACCUGCUGUGGCAGAGGGAAUUAUUCUUUCUUUCUCUCUAACUGAACACUAUCAAGCCCAAUAACUUGCUGGUGGCUGAACUGUAGCUUAUCAUUAAGUAAGACAUCCAGACUUGGUGUAAAUGUUCCAUAGUGAAUUUACCACCUUCUUUGCCAAGUUUACAUAGUGCUUAAGCACCUUUACUGAAUUAAUUAUUUUCCAUUUGAAUUUAUUUGACCUAACCUUCCUGCUAUCCAGUUUUAUUAUGUUUGAGUGCACUGGACUGAAUAGUCCUUAAUAUAAUUUCCCCAGUUAAAACUGAUAAACAAACUAUCACACUCCAGACACCAGGGACCAAAGUGGGCACUUUCAGUGUAAAAAUCUGCUGUAUCAACAGUCUGAGGUAGUUCAAAGGUUCUGCUCCAUGGCAGGAUAAAUUGAACUGGGACUGCCACAGAGAGAUGCCCUGUCCCACUUGCACCACCUCUGGUGUUCCUGAGCUCGCUGAGUAAAUCAGUUCAGUGAGUUCAGCCAUAAGAAAUCCAAUGUUAUAAAAGUGAUGGAUUGUGAUUUUGUUGGCUUGGUGCCUGAACUCUGUAGGCACAGGCCUUACCCAGUGCUGGGACAGGGAAAGGCAGCUCUGACAGACUGAAUUAGGCUGUGAGGAAUUUGCAGUUUUGGGGAACCACGGUAGAUUUGCACCAUCUGUGCAGAAUGGUCUCAAAGCACACAGUAGCCAGUAAGUUAAAGCUGAUCUCGGGAUCUGAAAAUGCAAUCCUGAACUUUAACAUACACCUUCCAAAAAAGCAAAUCAAACUAAACCAACCCAAUCCAAACCUCCUUGCUUCCACAAGUGAUUCCUGAAUUAAUCUUCAGUGUUGGUCAGGGCAUUCAGCACCAUGGGUGGACUUCUGGUAACAAAAGAACAUGGGAGGAGUGACAAUUUAUAAAUAGAGUUUGAAAACCAAGAUGGAUGAUCAAUCCCAGAAUGCAUCUCUCAGACACUAUAUCCUGAAUAAACACCAAAAAGAGCUGCUGUGUCUGAAGUGAACAAAUGCAAGACAGAUUAAUGAACUGACCUGAACAAAGGCAAUCCAUUUUUCAUAUUCUUUUAAAAUAUUAUCUUUCUCCCCUUUCUAAAUAAGCGACUGGAAUGUUAAAUCAGUUAAGUGCAUCAAUUUGAUAAAAACUAUGCAAAUCUUUAAAUAUAUAAAGGCACCAUCUAUAACAUUGACAGUUCAGAUAAAGAGUUUAGUUUUAGUGGAAAAUAAAAGUUCCCAGUAUGAAAUGUAAAUGCAAAUAUUUGUUUUAUUUAUUUUCUAAAGUACUUUGUAUUUUGUACUCUGACAGUUACAAAUUGCGUGGGUAAUUUAUUGAAGUUUUCUCUCGCCACAAACACAGUCCUCCCUUCAUGAAAAGGCUGGUUAAUACUGUAGGAGGCUGGAUAGAAAUGCAGAACUUGAGGGACAGUGGGGAGGAAGAUAAUAAACACAGAGAAAUGACACAGAUUAAAAUAAAACAAAUAGCAGGCAGCAGUUCAAAUUACAAAAUGCUGGGAGUAUUAAAAAGAAAUUUAUCAUAUGUGCCAGGAAAAUGAUGCACUACACAGCAUCCUUCUGCUUCCUUCCUAACUUGGGGGUCACUAUGCACCUUUUUUUCACUUUGAAAGGGAGAUGGCUAUUUCUGAUGUGCCGAGCUCAAACCUUUGCCUAUCAAGAAAGAAAAGAUUACAGCAAAAAAGGAGGGAGGUAAAGACACUCCUUCAGUUUCCUUCUCUGAAGAAAACUUCACCUUCCUUUCCUUUUCCCUCCUUCCCCUUUACUUUGCUCUCCCAUCUGCUGUACCAGCACAACAGUGAUGUUGAACAAGGCAAAAACAUAAAAAUGCUGCACUGAAUAAGGUUUUGCUGUUUAUUUUAACCCAAAUAAUUUCACAGAUCUGGUUUAAACUGAAGCAGUAUCAACAGGGCUGAAGGGAUGGCAGGGAACUUUGUGUGCUGAAGAAAAAAAAAAAAAAAGUAGGAUAUAAGUACUCCCAGGGGAACCAUUCAGACAAAAUGGUUUGCUAUGCCCAUUCUGCCUGGGGAGAAGAAAUUUUAGGACAGAUUCAGCUCAAUGAGAUUGCAUGGCAGUUAGGACCUUGCUUAGUGCCAAAGUGUUGUGUGGUGGAGUUUUAUUUCCCUGAGUUAAUGUACAUAAAUGGUCUUUUAAAACUAAAGUGUCUAAUCUAAUUUUGACUUUGCAGGAUCUGAAUGAGGAUAAGAAGAAAUUAUACAGGCAAGGCGGAAAUCUGAAGAGUCACCUAAAGACCCAAGACAAGGGUGAUCAAAAUGAAAAUGUGCAAGUACACAUUUUCUUCAUUGGCUUUUGUGCACCUGUCCAGUGUUCCUUCUCAUUUUACAGGAACACUCAUUGAUUCCAGACCUUUGGCAAUAAUCAUUAUGCAAAUGUAAUGAUAUGAUCCUUGCUCAGAAGAGCUUGCAGAUUUAAAAGGUCAAGAGAAGACAACACAGAUGUCUGCAACAGAUGAAAUAAGAACCACUUGUAUACUUGAUACCUGAUGCCAGAUAAUAGGAUUUAAAGGAGACUGGCAAAACUCUUCAUAUAUGUGAAAUGGAAAACAGCUGGCGUGAUAGCCAUGGAGCACUGGGAUGAAGUCUGUCCUUUCUUGUGCCAACAGGAAUUCACCGUAAUUAUUUCAAAUAUAAGUAAACCUAAUUUCUUCAAUUAUUCAAAUAAAUAUUAAUACGAAAAAAAUCCUACUUCUCAUCUUCAGUCAUGCUGGGUUUUAUAGAAUUAAAGAAAAUGUU